ACCAAAGUAUUGUAAACUUUGAAAGUGUACAGAGAGGUUAUAACAAGACGUGUUUCUGGAGGAAAGGAAUCUUUUGACUUUGUGCAGUGUAGUGUCAAAUCUGUGGGUGCGUUCAUUGCUAAUGCAAACAACGGUCUUGCUCAAAACUCCACCAAUUAACAUAAUUUUGCUCUCAACCGAAAGUUUGAACUUGGUAUCUAUCGUAAAUAGAACAUAAGUUGUUUUUACUCCGUAAUGUUCCUUUAAAGCCUCCUGUGUAAGAAUUUCUCCCAUCUAGUGGUUAGGAGUUAUAUUGCAACCAACCUCUCAAGCGCUGCCUCGUUUAGAACUAUGGUGUGAUAAAUGAUAAA